AUCCAACUGACGAGUCCCGAAUACGACGCAAUGUGCGUCCUGGAU
rnacentral:hammerhead_ribozyme from 1 species